CCUACGGGUGGCAGCAGUGGGGAAUAUUGGGCAAUGGGCGCACGCCUGACCCAGCAACGCCGCGUGAAGGAAGAAGGCUUUCGGGUUGUUAACUUUCUUUAAGCGGGAAGAGCAGAAGACGGUACCUCUCGAAUAAGCCACGGCUCACUACGUGACAGCAGCCGCGGUAAUACGUAGGUGGCAAGCGGUGUCCGGAUUUAGUGGGUUUAAAGGGAGUGUAGGCCGGUCUUUAAGCCUGCCGUGAAAUUUUGUGGCUCAAACAUGAGAGUGCGGCGCAAACUGGAGACCUUGAGGGCGCGGGAGGCAGGCGGAAUGCGUGGUGUAGCGGUGAAAUGCUUAGAUAUCACGAAGAACCCCGAUUGCGAAGGCAGCCUGCCGCAGCGUUACUGACGCUGAAGCUCGAAAGCGCGGGUAUCGAACAGGAUUAGAUACCCGUGUAGUC
rnacentral:rRNA from 1 species